rnacentral:lncRNA from 1 species
ACAUAUAUGUUAGAUGUAGACACACGAGCUUACUUUACAUCAGCUACUAUAGUUAUCGCAAUCCCUACUGGUGUAAAAGUAUUUAGCUGACUUGCAACCCUACACGGAGGAAAUAUUAAAUGAUCUCCAGCUAUACUAUGAGCUUUAGGCUUUAUUUUCUUGUUUACAGUUGGAGGACUAACCGGAAUUGUUCUAUCAAAUUCAUCACUUGAUAUUGUACUUCAUGACACAUACUAUGUAGUAGCCCAUUUUCACUAUGUCCUAUCUAUAGGAGCAGAAUUUGCUAUCAUAGCAGGAUUUGUUCACUGAUUCCCAUUAUUUUCAGGCUUCACCUUAGACGACACAUGAGCAAAAGCCCAUUUCACCAUUAUAUUUGUAGGAGUAAAUAUAACAUUCUUCCCUCAACAUUUCCUAGGCCUUUCAGGAAUACCACGACGUUACUCAGAAUACCCAGAUGCUUACACUACAUGAAACACUGUCUCUUCUAUAGGAUCAUUGAUUUCAUUAACAGCUGUACUUGUAAUAAUUUUUAUAAUCUGAGAAGCCUUUGCUUCAAAACGAGAAGUAUUAUCAGUAUCAUACGCCUCAACAUACUUAGAAUGACUUCACGACUGCCCACCACCCUACCAUACAUUUGGAGAACCAACCUAUGUAAAAGUAAAA